GACAGAGGGUGCAAACGUUGCUCGGAUUUACUGGGCGUAAAGCGCGUGUAGGCGGGCGACUAAGUCGGAUGUGAAAUCCCUGGGCUCAACCUAGGAACUGCAUUCGAAACUGGUCACCUAGAGUGAUGGAGAGGAAAGCGGAAUUCCCGGUGUAGAGGUGAAAUUCGUAGAUAUCGGGAGGAACACCAGUGGCGAAGGCGGCUUUCUGGACAUUUACUGACGCUGAGACGCGAAAGCGUGGGGAGCAAACAGG
rnacentral:rRNA from 1 species